rnacentral:rRNA from 1 species
ACGGAAGGCAGCAGUAAGGAAUCUUGCACAAUGGGGGAAACCCUGAUGCAGCAACGCCGCGUGAGUGAUGAAGGCCCUAGGGUUGUAAAGCUCUUAUCUUGGGGAAGAAACAAAUGACGGUACCCAAGGAGAAAGCCCCGGCUAACUACGUGCCAGCAGCCGCGGUAAUACGUAGGGGGCAAGCGUUAUCCGGAAUUAUUGGGCGUAAAGAGUGCGUAGGUGGUUACCUAAGCGUAAGGUUUAAUCUUGAGGCUCAACCUCAUUCUGCCUUACGAACUGGGCUACUUGAGUGCAGGAGGGGAAAGCGGAAUUCCUAGUGUAGCGGUGAAAUGCGUAGAUAUUAGGAAGAACACCAGAGGCGAAGGCGGCUUUCUGGACUGUAACUGACACUGAGGCACGAAAGCGUGGGGAGCAAACAGGAUUAGAUACCCUGGUA